rnacentral:piRNA from 1 species
UUCCCUCUGAUUUUGUAGAUGGCUGCCC